rnacentral:lncRNA from 1 species
GCGGCUGCAGCAGGAGCGGGAGCAGCGGGAGCAGGAGGAACGGGCACGCACGGAGGCCCUGGCGCGGCAGCGGGAGGAGCAGGAGGAGCGGGAGGCACAGGACAGAGCACGGGCGGAGCGGGAGGAGACGGAGCGGCUGCAGAGACAGAGGGAAGAGGCCGAGGCCAAAGCACGCGAAGAGGCCGAGCGGCAGCGGCUGGAGCGUGAAAAGCACUUCCAGCGUGAGGAGCAGGAGCGGCUGGAGAGGAAGAAGCGCCUGGAGGAGAUCAUGAAGAGGACGCGCAAGUCCGAUGCUGCAGAUGCCAAGAAGAAGGAGGACAAGAAGGUGGUGAAUGGCAAAGCAGCGGAGCAGGACGAUGUCCCAGGCCGGGAGAAGCACGUGGGACCCAUGUCAAAGCAGGAGGAGCUCCCCGAGAUGGAGACACCGAGCGCAGGGACACCGGGGGGGCUGAAGGCCCUGGUGGGUGAAGGGCUGCAGCCAAGCUCCCCAGCCAAGGAGCUGGCAUCCCCGGCCUCGCUGGUGAACGGUGUGCAGCCCGGCAAGCACGAGAACGGCUUCUCGGGCCCGGAGGGCUCCAAGGAGCUGCUGGAGCUCCAGCACAGCAGCAGCCCCGGCAGCAUCAUCCCCUUCGGUGACAAGGAGCCCUUCCUCAAGCAGGCCGUGGUCAAGCCCCCGCAGGUCACAGAGGUGCUGUGA